UACGGAGGGUGCGAGCGUUAUUCGGAAUUACUGGGCGUAAAGGGCGUGCAGGCGGGAGAGCAAGUCUGAUGUGAAAGCCCGGGGCUUAACCCCGGAAGGGCAUUGGAAACUGCUUUUCUUGAGUACCGGAGAGGAAGGGAGAAUUCCCGGUGUAGAGGUGAAAUUCGUAGAGAUCGGGAGGAACACCAGUGGCGAAGGCGCCCUUCUGGACGGUAACUGACGCUGAGACGCGAAAGCGUGGGGAG
rnacentral:rRNA from 1 species